AGUCUGGUGCCAGCAGCCGCGGUAAUUCCAGCUCCACUAGCGUAUAUUAAAGUUGUUGCGGUUAAAACGUUCGUAGUUGAACUUGUGCUUCAUACGGGUAGUACAACUUACAAUUGUGGUUAGUACUAUACCUUUAUGUAUGUAAGCUUAUUACCGGUGGAGUUCUUAUAUGUGAUUAAAUACUUGUAUUUUUCAUAUGUUCCUCCUAUUUAAAAACCUGCAUUAGUGCUCUUAAACGAGUGUUAUUGUGGGCCGGUACUAUUACUUUGAACAAAUUAGAGUGCUAAAAGCAGGCUUUAAAUGCCUGAAUAUUCUGUGCACGGGAUAAUGAUAAUAAUAAGACCUCUGUUCUGCUUUCAUUGCUUUUCAGAUCAAGAGGCAAUGGUUAAUAGAAGCAGUUUGGGGGCAUUAGUAUUACGACGCGAGAGGUGAAAUUCUUGGACCGUCCUAAGACUAACUUAAGACUUAUGUUUUCAUUAAUCAAGAACGAAAGUUAGAGGUUCGAAGGCGAUCAGAUGCCGCCCUAGUUCUAACCAUAAACGAUGCCAGCUAGCAAUUGGGUGUAGCUACUUUUAUGGCUCUCUCAGUCGCUUCCCGGGAAACCAAAGCUUUUGGGCUCCGGGGGAAGUAUGGUUGCAAAGCUGAAACUUAAAGGAAUUGACGGAAGGGCACCACCAGGAGUGGAGCCUGCGGCUUAAUUUGACUCAACACGGGAAAACUUUCCAGGUCCGAACAUAAGUGUGUAAGACAGAUUGAUAGCUCUUUCUCGAAUCUAUGGGUGGUGGUGCAUGGGCGUUCUUAGUUCGUGGAGUGAUUUGUCUGGUUAAUUCCGAUAACGAACGAGACUCAAAUAUAUUAAAUAGAUAUCUUCAGGAUUAUGGUGCUGAAGCUUAUGUAGCCUUCAUUCAUGUUGGCAGUAAAAUGCUUAUUGUGUUUGAAUGCGUUUAUGUAAGUUGAGCCGUACCUGUUGGUUUGUCCCAUUAUAAGGACACUAGCUUCUUAAAUGGACAAAUUGCGUCUAGCAAUAAUGAGAUUGAGCAAUAACAGGUCUGUGAUGCCCUUAGAUGUCCUGGGCUGCACGCGCGCUACAAUGAAAGUAUCAACGUGUAUUUACUAGACCGAGAGGUCCGGGUAAACCGCUGAACCACUUUCAUGCUUGGGAUUGUGAACUGAAACUGUUCACAUGAACUUGGAAUUCCCAGUAAGUGUGAGUCAUUAACUCGCAUUGAUUACGUCCCUGCCCUUUGUACAAAUUAGAAAAAGAGUUGGCCGGCGGUUGACGCGCGCGGCUU
rnacentral:rRNA from 1 species